rnacentral:rRNA from 1 species
GACGAACGCUGGCGGCGUGCUUAACACAUGCGAGUCGAACGGAAAGGCCCUGCUUUUGUGGGGUGCUCGAGUGGCGAACGGGUGAGUAACACGUGAGUAACCUGCCCUUGACUUUGGGAUAACUUCAGGAAACUGGGGCUAAUACCGGAUAGGAGCUCCUGCUGCAUGGUGGGGGUUGGAAAGUUUCGGCGGUUGGGGAUGGACUCGCGGCUUAUCAGCUUGUUGGUGGGGUAGUGGCUUACCAAGGCUUUGACGGGUAGCCGGCCUGAGAGGGUGACCGGCCACAUGGGGACUGAGAUACGGCCCAGACUCCUACGGGAGGCAGCAGUGGGGAAUAUUGCACAAUGGGCGGAAGCCUGAUGCAGCAACGCCGCGUGCGGGAUGACGGCCUUCGGGUUGUAAACCGCUUUCGCCUGUGGCGAAGCGUGAGUGACGGUAAUGGGUAAAGAAGCACCGGCUAACUACGUG